GGAAAUGGUGGAGUGGGAGCACAAGAGUAAAGUACCUGGAAAGAUGCAUGCUUGUGGUCAUGAUGCUCAUGUGGCUAUGCUUCUUGGUGCUGCGAAGAUUCUUAAACAGCAUGAAAAAGAGAUACAAGUUUGAAUUUUUAUAUUGGCUUCUUUAUUUCCGAUUCCUGAAUCUUCUGCUUUAUGGUUUAGCUUACUUUUACAGAUACUGAACUUCUUAUCUCCGUUUAAAACAUGUGAUCACCACUCAUUGGUGUCCAGUUUGUCAAACUCAAGAAAUUUGGCCCUCUUAAUGAUUUUAUACAUUUCUUUUAUGUAAACUUUUUGUUUAUGAUUCCAAUCAUGUUAGUAUCAAGCAUAUAAUCCGUUUAUAAGGUAUUUGUGUCCGAAAAGUGAAAGAGAGUUGCCCACCAUAUCAUACUACUUGACCAAGACAGUCUCCUAUAUCUGUUACUUUAUUAUGAAAUAUCAGUUGUCAUGUUCUCUUGUUUCCACCCUGUCAUGGAUCUAUGAUAAUUUCAUUAUUUUGAUGUCUGAAUAGGGAACUGUAGUUCUUGUUUUCCAACCAGCAGAGGAAGGAGGUGGGGGAGCCAAGAAAAUUUUAGAUGCUGGAGCCUUAGGAAAGGUUUCAGCCAUUUUUGGGUUGCAUGUGUCACGCGACUUUCCAUUAGGUGAAGUGGGCUCUAGGUCUGGUCCAAUGUUAGCAGGAAAUGGUUUUUUUGAAGCUAUAAUAAAGGGAAAAGGAGGUCAUGCAGCUAUUCCUCAACAAUCUAUAGACCCUAUAUUGGCAACUUCUAAUGUUAUAAUUAGCUUACAGAAUCUUGUUUCUCGUGAGGCUGAUCCUCUGGAUUCCCAGGCAAGUUCGCUUUAACUUUAUUUCUUCCUUUUCCCUUGCCACCAACUACUCAUUUAUGCUUUCUGUUUUGGUACAAUUGGGGUUUAAAAGGCAAAGCAAUUAGUGGGCGACAACCAGGCCAACUGAUGUUCUUAUUUGAUUGCUAAAUAAAAGUAUUUAUAACAUUUUCUGAACCCAAGGCUAUGCAAAACUUGUGAUUGGGCUAGAAACUUAUUUCUUACACUUCAACUAAACUUUCUUAUCAUUUAGUAAACUUUUCCUUGUGUUAUCCACAUAAACUUUGGAAGUACCAAAUCCAUCACUUUUUUGAGACCUUAGAUACGUAUUAAGUACUAGAAGAGUUACUCAUGACAUUGAUGCAGGUGCAAAAGAAGAGAAACUUUAUCCUGGUAGUUUUUUCUCUUUUCAAAUCUUAAAAUUGAAUUGCAGCUGAUUUUAAACCUGGCUCUGGAUUGUAGCGAGUAAGGGCUGUGCUGUAGAAAGUAACUUUUGAUGAGAGCGGGUUUAGGGGUUUGUAAAACACAAACAUAUGGGUAACUUUAACGUAUCAUGCAUAUACACUAUUCCACUCCUUUGAUCUUCUUGUGUCUAGAAGUAUGUUGUCAAGAAUAGAGAUUGUAAUUCUGUACAAAAGAAUUGAUUAGUUACAUUUAGUUUACAUACCUUCGGUGAACUUUGGCCACAAAAAGGUUUCUAGUGAAAAGGAUGAGAUGUCAAGUGUGAUUAUUACUUAUUAAAUGUGACGAAAUACUGUUUGAAGAAGGAAUUUGAAUCCUCUGUGAACUAGAAAGCAUCUCCACACAGGUUGUGACUGUAGGAAAAUUCCAAGGAGGCAGUGCAUUCAAUAUCAUUCCAGAUUCUGUCACGAUCGGUGGCACCUUCCGAGCUUUUUCAAAAGAAAGUUUCCAGCAAUUAAAACAGCGCAUUGAGGAGGUAUGUGAUGGAGAAGAAUAACUUUUUUUGUGUAUGCAUAAACUAAAACAACGAAAAUGGCCAGAACUUGUUUUUAUUUGUAGUCUUGUUUGUACUCUCAGAAGGUAAUUAUAGGAUCAGAAAAUAAAAUGAAUUAAGUUUCUCCUUUUAAAUUUAAAUCAACUUAUGCACUUGAAUGUUUACAAAAACUCUCAUUCAUCUUCUCCAAAAACUGAGGUGCAUCAGUUGAUUUUAUUUUACAAAAAAUGUUUGAUUUAUUUUUGUCUUUUAUUUUCAUCUUUUCUAAGCCUACUCAGAAAACAUGUUCUAUAUCAUCAAACACUAAUCUGAUGUUGUCCCACCUGUUCAUUGAGUCUAUAAACCCAACCUUUACUUUAGUUUAAAAGCAUGACACAAAAUGAAAUGAAGAUAUAUUGUUGUAAUUAUCAAUAAAAACAUGUUACAAUAAAACUAAGCAGCACCCUUACAUGAUAAUUUCAACUAAAAAAUGGAUUCACUCAUAUUAUACACAGUUUUCAUUACACGUGAUUCUGGCAGGGGCUAAGGCUGACUGGUUUAUGCAGGUUGUGAUUGCACAAGCUUCUGUGCAGAGGUGCAAUGCAACAGUCAACUUCCUUCAGGAUCAGAAUCCUUUCUUUCCCGUAACCAUAAACAACGGUGACUUGCAUGAACAUUUUCAGAGUGUUGCUGGGAAUUUGCUUGGCGUGAAUAAAGUAAAUGAGAUGCAACCUUUGAUGGGAGCUGAAGACUUUUCAUUCUAUCAAGAGGUUAUACCUGGCUACUUUUUCAUGGUUGGAAUGCAGAAUGCCUCACAUGAAAAACUUGAGCAAGUGCACUCACCCCAUUUCAAGAUCAAUGAAGAUGUACUUCCUUAUGGGGCUGCACUUCAUGCCUCAUUAGCUGUUAGUUAUCUUCUGAAACAUCCACAGGACAUAGCCUCUGCAGAGGGGAAAUAUCACGAUGAAUUGUAACAGAACUUUAUUUUUUGUUGGAAAAUCACUAAAAUAAUAGCCAAUUUAUAUUGUUUCUUGUAGCAAUGACAUGAUGAACUCGUUUGUAUUUAAAUUUUAACUAAAACUAGUGUUGAGCUUAUGCAUGAGCAAAGCAAAAAUAAAGCUGUUUUACAUUUUGAAUAAACUACCAUUUUUUUUCUUAUGAACUUUUACCCUUCUUCUUGAUUCCAUUUUUAGAAAGCUAUCUGUUUUAAAGUUGUCAUAUUUUUCAUCUGGGUCUCAACCAUUAGAGGAUCUUUUAAAGACACUGUAGACCUGGUUAAAUGAUCAAUUAGGGCCUGAACUUCUGAGUGUUAAUUUAGUUCUUCAAAAUAUGAAAAUUUUAAUUAAGUCCUUGAAUGUGUGCAAAGUGGAGUAAUUGUGUCUUGAUAAUAAGUUUUGCAAAACUAUUUUACUGUUAAUAUUUCUAGAUGAAAGGUGGAAGGGGAUGAACUUUUUGGGAAAAAAUGAAUAGAUGUCGCUAUAAAAUACUUUACAAUAAAUAAAGAAUAAAAAAUAAUUAACACAUUUUAAAGUGAGUUUAUAUUUUUAAUAAUUAGGAAAAAGAAAAUGUUACUAUUUGUUUCAUAUACUUUACUUUAAAACAUGAUUAAUCAUGAAAAAAAAUCAGGUUAAUAUCCAAUAAAUGAAUAAUAAAAGAUAAUUAAGGCAUUUUAAAGGGGUUUGUAUUUUUUAUAAUUAGGAAAAAGAAAAUGUUACUACUCAUAUAAAAUAAUUUCAUUUGUAUAAUAUACUCCCUUUUAAUCUUAGAUUUUUCUAAAGUUAACUAAUAGGUAUACAUUACCUAAAUAUUGAUUUUCUUAUAUUUUUUAUAUAUAGAUUUUGGUUCUAAUCUUCCAAAUUUUGUUUGUAUUUUUUUAAUAAUAAUUUUAUUUUUAUGUGGUCACACAUUAUUGUUGAUACUUGAUUGUCAGAUAUCAAUUUUGAUAGUGAUAUCAACUUUUAAUAAAGAAAAAGUUAUUAUUUGUUUCAUAUUUCAUAUAAAAAAAAUUGAGGCAAUAAUUUAUAACAUAGAUAUUUUUUAAUUUGUGUGUUGUAUCAAAUAAACAUUUAUUUAAUAUAAUUUAAUGACACUUUUCCUAGAAUGUCUAAAUUUUAAUUAGUGUCUUUUGGUUCUACAUUUUAAUUAUACCUUUUUAAUAUCUUUGCUUGUAUAUGGAAUUGGUAUUUCCCUAUUUUUACUUGUUUAAUUUAAAGUUUUAUAUGUUUUAAGAAAAUAAUAUAUCAAUAAUAAUAGUUAAAUGAAAAAUAAUUAUAUUAAUAUGUGAGUUAUUAAUAAUAUAUUUAACAAUUUAGUUAUUUUUAACAUUUAGAUAGUUUAAUUUUAUUUUUUAAUUAGUAAUUAUGAAUAUAAAACAAAUAUAUUAAAUGGAAAAAGUCGUUUUAUAUAUUAUAUAUUACAUUACAAAGUAUAAUAUAACGUUCAAAUGGUUGAUUUAAUUAUGAAAUUAUUAUUUUUCAUUUUACUGCUCCAAAAGCGUCCAAUAAAUGAUGACCGGUCUUUGUUAUCUGUUCUGUAUUUUUUUUAAAUUAUCUUUUUUGACAAUUAACUUUUAAUAAAUAAUAACAACUUCAUUUCAAUAAAAAAAAACACUAUAUUUAAGUUAAUUAACAAAUAAAUUGAUAAAAAAAUAUUUAGAAUUUAAAUGGUUUUGUUUGUUUCGGUUUGCUUUCACUGGAUAUAUAAAACAAAAUCGUAAAGACACUCUUCUUUUUAUAAUAGUAAAAAAAUCCAUCUCACAACUCUUUAUAAUAAUCAAAUAAUAUUUUAAAUUAAAAAAUAAACUAAAUAUAAUUAAAUUAUUAUUUUAUUAAAAUAUUAAAUGGAUGGAUGUUUUUACUGUCAAUGUAUCUAAAAUUGAAAAAGAUAUGCUUUGGUACUCUUAAACAAUCACUCAUUUUAAUAAUACAAUAAUAUAUAUAUUAUUUUAAAUAAAAAAUUAAAAUAUGAAUAUAUUAAUGGCAGAGUAAUUAUUUUUCUAUUGGUGGGUCUUAAAUUUUGUUGAACAUUUAUUGCGGCAGAAGUACUUUUGUGAACUUUUAACAUAUCACUUGAAAGUUUUUUAUUGAAUGAGAAGUACUAAUUAUUUCUUAUUUUUAAAAUAUGAAAGUCAAAAUGUUUUUUUAUAUUAAAACAAACUUAUUUUAUGAAAGCUGAUUUUAUUAUAAACACAAUUUUGUUCUUCUACAUUUCCCUCAUUUGAUUCAUUCUGUAUCAUAAUAAACAUUUUGAAAGGUUGGUGCAUCAAAGAUUCUCAAACACAUUCUUUCUGUAUAAUCUUCUCUUCUGCAUUAUUUUUUCCAUUAAACACUGUUCUUCUGAUACAAAUUGAAAACAUGCACAUGCUCACUAGUCAUCUAUAUUUUAGAACUCUCAUCCUAUUCAAGAAUUCAAAACAAUGUCAACUUUGGUUUAUUGAACUUUGUGAAUUUCAACCAUUUCACCUCUCUACACAUUACUUCUUAAUAUAUUUGAAUUAUUAUAUUUUUUUAUUAAAAAGUACACUUUAAUCAUAAUUUAACAUCAUAAAAUUAGUUUAUAAGAUGAGGUUUGCAUUCAUUUAUUUAUGUCAUAAUCUUUAGUUGAUGUGGAAUCUCCAUCACACAUCCCCUCACAUGGAGACUACUCAUUCGUGCGUGAGAUUAUAUAUUAUAGAUGGUCUAAUAAAGGUCCGAUAGCGGUGACCUGAUAAGUCCAACAAAUAAUUACUAGGAUAGACUCAAAAUAUACUAUAUUAAGAAGUGAAUUUUAAUCUAACUCAAUAUCAUAAAACCGACUUAUAAGAUGAGGUUUGUACCGAUUUAUAUAUGUCGUAAUUUCUAGUCUUGCAUAUAUUUAGCAUUUUUUUAUAUUUUUAUUAGUGCAUAAAACAUGGGAUUUGGUUUAAUUUGAUAAAGCUUGAGCCAAAUGUUACAAUAAAGAUAUCGAGUGCCUAAUUAAUUGGAGUGGGUCCUCAAAUCCUACAAAACUAUGUGUGGUGAUUGUUUUUCGUUUCACUCUCAACUCAACUACCAAAGAAACCAUGGUUGUCAAAAUGUGGUUCCAUUUGUUCAUCCUUUUCCAUGUCUUCUCUGCAACUCCAAUCUCCUCAUUAACAGAUUCCUCGAACAUAAUCUCUACUAACUUUCUUGACGAUGCCAAGAAGCCUGAAGUUUUUGAUUGGAUGGUGAAACUCAGAAGGAAGAUUCAUGAGAACCCAGAAUUGCUUUAUGAGGAAUUUGAGACCAGUAAACUGAUCAGAGAGGAAUUGGAUAAACUGGGUAUCCCAUAUAAACACCCAGUUGCUGUCACUGGUGUAAUUGGUUUCAUUGGAACAGGAAGCUCACCUUUUGUUGCAUUAAGAGCUGACAUGGAUGCACUUCCCAUCCAGGUUUCAUGAAUUCUAUAUGCUUGAACCAGAAUUUUGACUUUUUCUAUGAUACUUUUGUGUGUUGAUUCUAUUUGGUUUGGGGGUUAGGAUAAGACAUUGCCUUUCCUCAAGUUUCAUACACACUGUGUUUAUUUUAUCCAUAUUUCGUUGAUCUGAGGAUUCAUCUUAACCUCAGGAAAUGGUGGAGUGGGAGCACAAGAGUAAAGUACCAGGAAAGAUGCAUGCUUGCGGUCAUGAUGCUCAUGUCAGUAUACUUCUUGGAGCAGCAAAGAUUCUCAAACAGCAUGAAAAAGAGAUACAGGUUUUACUUUUUUUCAUUUUUUUAAUGUACGAUGUUGUGUUCUGCUUUGUUUUUUCCUCAACCAAUGCUCUUCUGAUGUAAAUUGAAAACGUGGGGUCAAUAGUUACUCCCACCACAACUUGCCAUCUGUUAAGAAAUCUGAUCUUUUGAUGAUUUAUAUAACUUCUAUUA
rnacentral:lncRNA from 1 species